UACAGAGGUGGCAAGCGUUGUUCGGAAUUACUGGGCGUAAAGGGCGCGUAGGCGGCCUUCUAAGUCAGACGUGAAAUCCCUCGGCUUAACCGGGGAACUGCGUCUGAUACUGGAUGGCUGGAGUUUGGGAGAGGGAUGCGGAAUUCCAGGUGUAGCGGUGAAAUGCGUAGAUAUCUGGAGGAACACCGGUGGCGAAGGCGGCAUCCUGGACCAAUACUGACGCUGAGGAGCGAAAGCCAGGGGAGCAAACGGG
rnacentral:rRNA from 1 species